rnacentral:rRNA from 1 species
CGACCUUGAAAUACCACCCUUUAAUGUUUGAUGUUCUAACGUGGACCCGUAAUCCGGGUUGCGGACAGUGUCUGGUGGGUAGUUUGACUGGGGCGGUCUCCUCCUAAAGAGUAACGGAGGAGCACGAAGGUUGGCUAAUCCUGGUCGGACAUCAGGAGGUUAGUGCAAUGGCAUAAGCCAGCUUGACUGCGAGCGUGACGGCGCGAGCAGGUGCGAAAGCAGGUCAUAGUGAUCCGGUGGUUCUGAAUGGAAGGGCCAUCGCUCAACGGAUAAAAGGUACUCCGGGGAUAACAGGCUGAUACCGCCCAAGAGUUCAUAUCGACGGCGGUGUUUGGCACCUCGAUGUCGGCUCAUCACAUCCUGGGGCUGAAGUAGGUCCCAAGGGUAUGGCUGUUCGCCAUUUAAAGUGGUACGCGAGCUGGGUUUAGAACGUCGUGAGACAGUUCGGUCCCUAUCUGCCGUGGGCGCUGGAGAACUGAGGGGGGCUGCUCCUAGUACGAGAGGACCGGAGUGGACGCAUCACUGGUGUUCGGGUUGUCAUGCCAAUGGCACUGCCCGGUAGCUAAAUGCGGAAGAGAUAAGUGCUGAAAGCAUCUAAGCACGAAACUUGCCCCGAGAUGAGUUCUCCCUGAGACUUAGAGUCUCCUGAAGGAACGUUGAAGACG